UGAGGAAUAUUGCACAAUGGGCGAAAGCCCGAUGCAGCAACGCCGCGUGAGGGACGAAGGCCUUCGGGUCGUAAACCUCUUUUCUGGGGGACGAGUAAGGACGGUACUCCAGGAAUAAGUCUCGGCUAACUACGUGCCAGCAGCCGCGGUAAAACGUAGGAGGCGAGCGUUAUCCGGAUUUACUGGGCGUAAAGCGUACGCAGGUGGCUUCGUUAGUCGGACAUGAAAGCUCCUGGCUUAACUGGGAGAGGUUGUUCGAUACUGCGGGGCUUGAGGUUGGGAGAGGAACGUGGAAUUCCCGGUGUAGUGGUGGAAUGCGUAGAUAUCGGGAGGAACACCAGUGGCGCAAGCGGCGUCCUGGCCCACACCUGACGCUGAGGGACGAAAGCGUGGGUAGCAAACAG
rnacentral:rRNA from 1 species